rnacentral:rRNA from 1 species
CCUGGUGGUCAUGGCGAAGGUGUCCCACCCGAUCCCAUCCCGAACUCGGAAGUUAAACCCUUCAGCGCCAAUGAUACUGCAUCUCAAGAUGUGGGAAAGUAGGUCGCCGCCAGGA